rnacentral:rRNA from 1 species
GGGCCCGCACAAGCGGUGGAGCAUGUGGUUCAAUUCGACGCAACGCGAAGAACCUUACCUGGGUUUGAACUGCAGGUGACAGGCCUGGAAACAGGCCCUUUCCUCUGGAACUCCUGCAGAGGUGCUGCAUGGCUGUCGUCAGCUCGUGUCGUGAGAUGUUGGGUUAAGUCCCGCAACGAGCGCAACCCUUGCCCUUAGUUGCCAUCGGGUUAUGCCGGGCACUCUAAGGGGACUGCCUCGGAAAACGGGGAGGAAGGUGGGGAUGAUGUCAAGUCAUCAUGGCCUUUAUGCCCAGGGCCACACACGUGCUACAAUGGGCGGUACAAAGGGCUGCGAACCCGCGAGGGGGAGCCAAUCCCAUAAAACCGUCCUCAGUUCGGAUUGCAGUCUGCAACUCGACUGCAUGAAGGUGGAAUCGCUAGUAAUCGCGGAUCAGCACGCCGCGGUGAAUACGUUCCCGGGCCUU